rnacentral:rRNA from 1 species
UACCAGCACCCCGAGUGGUCGGGACGUUUUUAUUGGGCCUAAAGCAUCCGUAGCCGGUUCUACAAGUCUUCCGUUAAAUCCACCUGCUUAACAGAUGGGCUGCGGAAGAUACUAUAGAGCUAGGAGGCGGGAGAGGCAAGCGGUACUCGAUGGGUAGGGGUAAAAAUCCGUUGAUCCAUUGAAGACCACCAGUGGCGAAGGCGGCUUGCCAGAACGCGCUCGACGGUGAGGGAUGAAAGCUGGGGGGAGCAAACCGGG